UAGGGAAUCUUCGGCAAUGGGGGCAACCCUGACCGAGCAACGCCGCGUGAGUGAAGAAGGUUUUCGGAUCGUAAAGCUCUGUUGUAAGAGAAGAACGUGUGUGAGAGUGGAAAGUUCACACAGUGACGGUAACUUACCAGAAAGGGACGGCUAACUACGUGCCAGCAGCCGCGGUAAUACGUAGGUCGCGAGCGUUGUCCGGAUUUAUUGGGCGUAAAGCGAGCGCAGGCGGUUUAAUAAGUCUGAAGUUAAAGGCAGUGGCUUAACCAUUGUUCGCUUUGGAAACUGUUAAACUUGAGUGCAGAAGGGGAGAGUGGAAUUCCAUGUGUAGCGGUGAAAUGCGUAGAUAUAUGGAGGAACACCGGUGGCGAAAGCGGCUCUCUGGUCUGUAACUGACGCUGAGGCUCGAAAGCGUGGGGAGCAAACAGG
rnacentral:rRNA from 1 species